UACGGAGGGUGCGAGCGUUGUCCGGAAUCACUGGGCGUAAAGGGCGCGUAGGCGGCGCGGGAAGUCAUCGGUGAAAGUUCAGGGCUCAACUCUGAAUCGGCCGGUGAUACUCUCGUGCUUGAGCACUGUAGAGGCAGGUGGAAUUCCGGGUGUAGCGGUGGAAUGCGUAGAGAUCCGGAAGAACACCGGAGGCGAAGGCGGCUUGCUGGGCUUGGUCUGACGCUGAGGCGCGAAAGCGUGGGGAGCGAACAGG
rnacentral:rRNA from 1 species